rnacentral:rRNA from 1 species
GACGAACGCUGGCGGCGUGCUUAACACAUGCAAGUCGAACGGAAAGGCCCUGCUUUUGUGGGGUGCUCGAGUGGCGAAGGGGUGAGUAACACGUGAGUAACCUGCCCUUGACAUUGGGAUAACUUCAGGAAACUGCGGCUAAUACCGGAUAGGAUCUCCUGCUGCAUGGGGGUGGUAGGAAAGAUUCGGCGGUUGGGGAUGGACUCGCGGGUUAUCAGCUGGUUUGUGGAGUAGUGGCGUACCAAGGCUUUGACGGGUAGCCUGCCUUGGAGGGUGAACGGCCACAUUGGGACUGAGAGACGGACCAGACUGGUACGUUAGGCAGUAGUGGGGAGUCUUACACAAUGAGGGGAAGCGUGAUACAGAGACGUCGGGUGCGGAAUGCCCGCUUUCGAGUUGUAAACCGCUUUCGCCUGUGACGAAGCGUGCGUGACGGUAAUGGGUAAAGAAGCACCGGCUAACUACGUG